rnacentral:lncRNA from 1 species
ACCGACCAGCCCAAGAAACAUCUCACCAAUUUCAAAUCCGCGGCCAGGCGUUCCUCCAGAACCUCCUCCCACAGGAGCUUGCUACACGUGCCGGAAAUCUGGCCACUGGGCCAAGGAAUGCCCGCAGCCUGGGAUUCCUCCUAAGCUACGUCCCAUCUGUGUGGGACCCCACUGAAAAUCGGACUGUUCAACUCACCUAGCAGCCACUCCCAGAGCCCCUGGAACUCUAGCCCAAGGCUCUCUGACUGACUCCUUCCCAGAUCUUCUCGGCUUAGCGGCUGAAGACUGACACUGCCCGAUCGCCUCAGAAGCCCCCUAGACCAUCACGGAUGCUGAGCUUCGGGUAACUCUCACAGUGGAAGAUUGUCUUACAGGUGGGCCAGUAUGUACAACCUAACACUGAGUUUUCAAGGAACAAGUUUCUGUUGCUGCUGCUCUAGCAUUCAUGCACUGUGGAGCCCGGAAACUUCUCGGGACAAGGAGCACAAUGCCAGGCCUUGUCGAGGGCCGCUGCAGUGGAGAGGCCAGACCGGGGGUGCCAGAGCCAACCGCAGACCAAGGAAGUGAACCCUGCACAUCCGGAUACUUGAAAUGUCAGCUUGUGGAGGAUCUCCCGCAGGAAUCUGACUUUAUACACAAACAAAGACAUUGAGCUUUCUGCUGAGGUGAGCUCAGAACGGAUGAACUUAGUCUUCUCUGCAGUGAUGCAAGCCUCUGUCAUGUGGAAGUUACAGACGAUGCUAGUGAAAUGUGGAUGGUCUCCUGGCCCACUGCAUCAUGCAAGAGGGCUGCUU